CGAGUCUCGCUGCGUAUUUCAUCGUUGUGUAUAUCUCGUAUUCAGACUCGUUAUUAAUAAAUCUAAUCAAUGAUCUGUGAUUAAAUCCGUGAAAUCAAUGAUCUGAGGUUAAAUCUGUGUCCCGGGUUAACCUGGGCUCACGUGUCCCACCAUUCCCCACAGGUAGGCUGUGUAGCCGAGGCUGGCCCGGAGUGCGUGUGCGCAUGCCACAGUACGGAUGGACGGCUGAUCGAUACUCUAAUCGAUAUCAAAUCGAGCUCGCCGUCCGGCCUCGGGGCUUCUCCUCGCUACGUGGAUCGUCCGCCGUCACCGCCAUCACCAGGAAUUGACUAUUAAACAAUCAUAUUGGUGGAACUGAUUACUAAAUAAAGAUAUUGACAGAAUUGGUUACUAAA